rnacentral:rRNA from 1 species
UACGGGGGGGGCAAGCGUUGUUCGGAAUUACUGGGCGUAAAGGGCGCGUAGGCGGCCCGCUAAGUCGAACGUGAAAUCCCCGAGCUCAACUCGGGAACUGCGUCCGAUACUGGCGGGCUUGAAUCCGGGAGAGGGAUGCGGAAUUCCAGGUGUAGCGGUGAAAUGCGUAGAUAUUGGGAGGAACACCAGUGGCGGAGGCGGUCCCCUGGGCCGGAACUGACGCUGAGGCGCGAAAGCGUGGGUAGCAAACGGG